rnacentral:rRNA from 1 species
UUGCCCCAUCCUACGGGAGGCAGCAGUGGGGAAUAUUGCACAAUGGGCGCAAGCCUGAUGCAGCCAUGCCGCGUGUAUGAAGAAGGCCUUCGGGUUGUAAAGUACUUUCAGCAGUGAGGAAGGUGGAUAUGUUAAUAGCAUAUUCAUUUGACGUUAGCUGCAGAAGAAGCACCGGCUAACUCCGUGCCAGCAGCCGCGGUAAUACGGAGGGUGCGAGCGUUAAUCGGAAUUACUGGGCGUAAAGCGCAUGCAGGUGGUUUGUUAAGUCAGAUGUGAAAGCCCGGGGCUCAACCUCGGAAUUGCAUUUGAAACUGGCAAACUAGAGUACUGUAGAGGGGGUAGAAUUUCAGGUGUAGCGGUGAAAUGCGUAGAGAUCUGAAGGAAUACCGGUGGCGAAGGCGGCCCCCUGGACAGAUACUGACACUCAGAUGCGAAAGCGUGGGGAGCAAACAGGAUUAGAUACCCUGGUAG